rnacentral:misc_RNA from 1 species
GUUUUAGUAGCUUCAGGUUCAAGUAUAGGUGAGUGCAAGGACAGUAAACUUUCAAAAAGCAAUGAAGGAUAUAAGAUUUUGAUACAUGCAUGGUAGAUAUGUUUCCUCCUUAUAGUGUAGGUGACCCUAUAAGGGAAAUUGGAAGUAAUUGUGGUGUUGAAUUGAUGAGGAAAACACAGCUGUAAUAGAUCACCUUAACUUUGACGUCAAAGAUGAAGGCUUGCUGAGUAUAUGAAAUUGAAAGUAGGGAGCUUUCGAUUGCACGACGACGCAUACAUUGAUCAUAGCUGAUCCCUCGAACAUCAUAGAAUCUAAAACCAUUGUAGGAGAUAAGAAAUUAAAUCCAAUUUUAUUCAAGGGUGUUGGAAUGACUGCCGACCCGGAGAACCCCCUGGUAAUGGAUAUCUUACACGGUACUUCUUCCUCAUACUCCCACAAUCCUUCUAAUGACAUCGUCGACUAUCCACACGCUGUUGGUAAAAACACACAGUUCAUCACUGCCCUCCAGGCCCGCAACAAUGCUUGCGUUGUGUUCUCUGGUUCCUUGGAGUUUUUCAGCGAUGCUUACUUCCAGUCUGCCGUUCAAAGGCCGUUGCAGGCUCUGAAAGAUUUGCUAAGUCUGGCAACCAAGGCCUUGCAUAUGCUCUCUCUCAAUGGGUGUUCAAGGAGAAGGGCUUACUUCGUGUCACCGGUGUUAGCCAUCAUAUUGUCGGACAAAGGACACCCCCAGCUGCUUACACCACUGAAGAUCAUGUGGUAAGGCCUUUCUAUUUCAUAGCUUGCAUACAUUUGCUUAUGAGGCCAAAGCACAGUGAAAU